UGGUGGGGCUGCUUAACAUGCAAGUCGAACGAUGAAGCCCAGCUUGCUGGGUGGAAGAGUGGCGAACGGGUGAGUAACACGUGAGUAACCUGCCCCGAACUCUGGGAUAAGCGCUGGAAACGGCGUCUAAUACUGGAUAUGUCCCAUCACCGCAUGGUGUGUGGGUGGAAAGAUUUAUCGGUUCGGGAUGGACUCGCGGCCUAUCAGCUUGUUGGUGAGGUAACGGCUCACCAAGGCGACGACGGGUAGCCGGCCUGAGAGGGUGACCGGCCACACUGGGACUGAGACACGGCCCAGACUCCUACGGGAGGCAGCAGUGGGGAAUAUUGCACAAUGGGCGCAAGCCUGAUGCAGCAACGCCGCGUGAGGGAUGACGGCCUUCGGGUUGUAAACCUCUUUUAGUAGGGAAGAAGCGAAAGUGACGGUACCUGCAGAAAAAGCACCGGCUAACUACGUGCCAGCAGCCGCGGUAAUACGUAGGGUGCAAGCGUUGUCCGGAAUUAUUGGGCGUAAAGAGCUCGUAGGCGGCUUGUCGCGUCUGCUGUGAAAACCCGAGGCUCAACCUCGGGCCUGCAGUGGGUACGGGCAGGCUAGAGUGCGGUAGGGGAGAUUGGAAUUCCUGGUGUAGCGGUGGAAUGCGCAGAUAUCAGGAGGAACACCGAUGGCGAAGGCAGAUCUCUGGGCCGUAACUGACGCUGAGGAGCGAAAGCAUGGGGAGCGAACAGGAUUAGAUACCCUGGUAGUCCAUGCCGUAAACGUUGGGAACUAGAUGUAGGGACUGUUCCACGGUUUCUGUGUCGUAGCUAACGCAUUAAGUUCCCCGCCUGGGGAGUACGGCCGCAAGGCUAAAACUCAAAGGAAUUGACGGGGGCCCGCACAAGCGGCGGAGCAUGCGGAUUAAUUCGAUGCAACGCGAAGAACCUUACCAAGGCUUGACAUAGCCGAGAACGCUGUAGAGAUACAGAACUCUUUGGACACUCGGUUUACAGGUGGUGCAUGGUUGUCGUCAGCUCGUGUCGUGAGAUGUUCGGUUAAGUCCGGCCAACGAGCGCAACCCUCGUCCCUAU
rnacentral:rRNA from 1 species